rnacentral:rRNA from 1 species
AAAGGAAUAGACGGGGGCCCGCACAAGCGGAGGAGCAUGUGGUUUAAUUCGAUGGUACGCGAGGAACCUUACCUGGGUUAGAACGUAUGAGCGAUGCAGCUGAAAGGUUGCAGGCCUGCGAAGGAGUUCAUACGAGGUGCUGCAUGGUUGUCGUCAGCUCGUGCCGUGAGGUGUUUGGUUAAGUCCAGCAACGAGCGCAACCCCUACCUUUAGUUGCCAUCAGGUAAAGCUGGGGACACUAGAGGGACUGCCUGCGCAAGCAGUGAGGAAGGUGGGGAUGACGUCAAAUCAGCACGGCCCUUAUGUCCAGGGCUACACACGUGCUACAAUGGUAACUACAGAGGGCAGCGACUAGGCGACUAGGAGCGAAUCUCGAAAAGUUAUCGUAGUUCGGAUUGGAGUCUGCAACUCGACUCCAUGAAGAUGGAUUCGCUAGUAAUCGCGCAUCAGCAAUGGCGCGGUGAAUACGUUCCCGGGCCUUGUACACACCGCCCGU